GGAGGCAGAGCGCCGGGCGCCUAUGGAGGGCAGGGCGGCCGCGCUGGCAGGCCCGGGCCGCCCGUUUGAGGGCAUCGCCCUUCUGCCGCUUCCCCGUGCCUGUGUAUUGCCUUCUGUCUUUCAGUGAAGAACCACGGACCUGCUCCAAGUGACUGCUGCCUAGGGAGCAGGGCCGACCGAAGGAGACCACCCCCUCCCCUUGGGAUGCUCGGCGGGGGUACUGUAGGGCGCGGUCGCAACUCCACCGCGGCCCGGGGCCGGGAGGACAGCAGGGCCCGCUGGGAGGGCAGGAGUUGCUGCGGGGCUUUACAAGUCGCCGCGGAGCAGCGAUUGCGGGAGCGAGCAGGUUGAACGGCAGAGCUGGCCAGGCUGCCUCGCUGCUCUCCGCUCGCAGGAGAGCACAAAAUGUCCAUCUGCAUCCUCGGGUUCAGCUGCUGCAGACCGAAAAUCGGAUCUCCUCAUCUGAUCCCUGGUUUGGGCCAAUUUUCUGAGCAAUCCCGCCAUGACAGACACCCCUGUCUCAUCCUCUCAAGAAGUGGAGCAUCUCUAUUGCACUUAAGAAGACAAGGCAAUAGAGCCCAAAAAUACUGAGACAGCACCAGUGAUCUGAAUCUUGAAAUUUUAUUCCCUGGGGAACGAGUUCAGGAAGGAAAAGGCAGAGCCUGCCUCCAGCUGGAGUCUUUGAGAUUGGCCAGAUUCAACGUGUUACAAACAAACAUAUUCCACCUGUUACAACAAUCUGGCAUAUUACUUCCUUGAUACGUGAUGAUACAAUACCUCUCAGGUUUGCUGAGUAGCAAAGAGAAAUGUGACAUGCAUGGAGAAAAAGAAGAGGUACUUUAUACCUAUUAUAUUAUACCUAACAUAUCCAGGAACAAUGAAUAAAAAACAGUCUCUGGAACUUGGCAGAAGUUUAAUUCAAGGGCCAUCAAGGACUGCAUAGUUUUGGUUUUGUGUAAUAAGUAGUCAAAUAACAUUCAGAAAUUGAAAGUGUAUUUUUCUAUAAUACACAUUUUCAAGCAGGUUUCUUGGCAUGCAUUUUGUUUGUACUGUGCUUGAAGUUGUUUAUGGCAUUAAUGGUUAGUGUGUUUGUGCAUGUUUGCAUUCUGUCUGUUUAUGAAGUAUUUCACUGGUACCCUUACACAGCAUGUGGUCGGUCGAAGAUUAUUUUUGGUAGCAUGUGUAGUCAUGCAUUUUGGUGAAAGAGUUUAAAGUAAAGUGGGUUAAACCCUGGUUAUCUGCAGUUAUAUAAAGACAGACUUAUAGGUUGUAGUCUUCUCAGAACUUAGAUACAAAAAGUACUGCACCAUUUCAAAGACGAAAGAGUGAGUUGGUGCCAAUUUGUCCAACAAUCAUGGCAAUUUGAGUUGCAUAAAGAUAGGCCAAUUCUAUUAAUAACUGGAACAUUUGUAUAUUUUUAUUAUCAUAGAUGUCAAAAAUAAUUAACAGAUGACUCAUUAUAUUAUAAUAAUAACAUGUGUGUAAUUUUUGAAAUUAACUACGGAAGCAAAAACAAACCUCUAACAAGGAUAAUUUAAGUCGCUUCAGUCUCUAAUUGACAGCUAAGUAUAGGCAGUACUUUCAGGACCCAGACACAGGGCUGUGAAAUUAAUCUGUGAAUUACAAUGGGUUUAGAGUGUUAGUCGAUACUUUUCAUGGUGUUUUGAAAGUAUGGGUUGUUCAGCAUGUAUUUAAUGACAUUACAGGAAUAUUACUUGCAGAAAAUAUAGAUGCUGAGCAGCUGUAGACACUUACAGACAUCAGUUCUGUAAGGAUUUUGUGAAUGUUACAGAAUAAAAUAUUAUUGCUUUAUUUAGAUGCCUAACUACAAUUUUAAGAGCACUAUUCUUCCCGUGAAUCUUGAAACUUAAGGGAAACAGACCUGACCAAUAAUUAAUUCUUAAGAAAAUUUCACUUGUAAAUACUAUUUCAUUACUAUUGUUAAUAAAGUUCUUCAUGGUAUAAAACUCCAUUAUAUCAGCUCUGAUUUUCUUUCUUUUGGGCCAACUUACAUUUUUUUCAUUGUGCUUCUUAAACCUUCUUCCACUGGAGUGGGGAAUUUUUUUCAUACAGGUCUCUUUUUUUCUCCCACUAGAGUAAUAUUAGACAAUUUUCUAACACUUCUUUUACAUUUCUCA